CCCCUUGAGAUUUCUGUGCAGCCCCCCUACAUAUACAUUGUCCUUCGGGACUAUGGAAAUAAACGCGCUUGUAAUAAACGGAUUGGACCCGGGGGCGGUACCCGGCGACUCCACCAAACAUCCUUUAUUUGGGGAUCAUGGGGUCGAAAUAGGAUCGACAAACGUCUAAAGAGGUUAGCUUUUUCUCGGCUGGGUGCCACCGUAUCGGCCCAAAAUGUACAAUUGCAAAUAACAAUCGUGCUCCAAUGGCGAUGGCUGCGUAAGCAACCGGAUCUAUUGAAACUUAAGUCCUUACGUUUAGCGACCUAAGGCGGGGUUCGCAGGUACCUGGCAACAGAAACCUGCACU
rnacentral:tmRNA from 1 species